rfam:Myotis brandtii contig222024, whole genome shotgun sequence.
CGUGGUUCUCGGGUGACGCACCCUACAAUUGGGCUCCCUCGUCUCUGGUUCUGGGUGCGUCACUCGAGAACCACA